rnacentral:tRNA from 1 species
GAUGGUGUAGCUUUGUAAUAGAGCACAUGCUUUGCAUGCAUGAAACCUUGGAUUCAAACCCCAACAUCGCA